rnacentral:rRNA from 1 species
GACGAACGCUGGCGGCGUGCUUAACACAUGCAAGUCGAACGGAAAGGCCCUGCUUUUGUGGGGUGCUCGAGUGGCGAACGGGUGAGUAACACGUGAGUAACCUGCCCUUGACUUUGGGAUAACUUCAGGAAACUGGGGCUAAUACCGGAUAGGAGCUCCUGCUGCAUGGUGGGGGUUGGAAAGUUUCGGCGGUUGGGGAUGGACUCGCGGCUUAUCAGCUUGUUGGUGGGGUAGUGGCUUACCAAGGCUUUGACGGGUAGCCGGCCCGAGAGGGUGACCGGCCACAUGGGGACUGAGAUACGGCCCAGACUCCUACGGGAGGCAGCAGUGGGGAAUAUUGCACAAUGGGCGGAAGCCUGAUGCAGCAACGCCGCGUGCGGGAUGACGGCCUUCGGGUUGUAAACCGCUUUCGCCUGUGACGAAGCGUGAGUGACGGUAAUGGGUAAAGAAGCACCGGCUAACUACGUG